UCAGAAUCAUCAAACACUGCUAUAAACUCCUGCGCUCCCCCUCUCUCACGUCAGGUUGGUUCUGUGUGUCUGCUGCUUGGAACUCCCAGCCCUUCGACUUGGACAACUACACUAAUGCCAACUGCCUGUGCCCAGCCACCUCCACGGGAGGAAAGUGCCAGGAAGGGUACUACUGUCCCGAGGGGAGCUCUGAACCCCUGCUCUGCCCUCCUGGCUCCUUCUGCAACACGUCAGGGCUGUCUGAGCCCACGGGGCUGUGCUUUCCUGGCUACUACUGCACUGGAGGAGCCACUCAUCCCAAACCGACAGAUGGACUCACAGGCAACAUCUGCCCACCUGGAACGUACUGUGGUAAUUUCCUUCUCCUUGACGUGUACCACUCACCACUGACACCACUCUCGUCUACCUGUAAACCAAAGAGCUGAAGUGCUUCUGCCACUUUGUGGAGAGCACAUCCCAUGACCGUGUCCACUCUGAAGUAUAUUUAACAUAGUUAU
rnacentral:lncRNA from 1 species